rnacentral:rRNA from 1 species
GGAGGAAAAGAAACUAACAAGGAUUCCCCUAGUAACUGCGAGUGAAGCGGGAAAAGCUCAAAUUUAAAAUCUGGCGGUCUCCGGCCGUCCGAGUUGUAAUUUAGAGAAGCGUUAUCCGUGCUGGACCGUGUAUAAGUCUCCUGGAAUGGAGCGUCAUAGAGGGUGAGAAUCCCGUCUUUGACACGGACUACCAGUGCAUUGUGAUGCGCUCUCGACGAGUCGAGUUGUUUGGGAAUGCAGCUCAAAAUGGGUGGUAAAUGCCAUCUAAAGCUAAAUAUUGGCGAGAGACCGAUAGCGAACAAGUACCGUGAGGGAAAGAUGAAAAGAACUUUGGAAAGAGAGUUAAACAGUACGUGAAAUUGUCGAAAGGGAAACGGUUGCAGUCAGUCGCGUCCGCCGGGGAUCAACCUUGCUUUUGCUUGGCGUAUUUCCCGGUGGAUGGGUCAGCAUCAGUUUUGACCGCAGUUGAAAGGCUGGAGGAAUGUGGCACCUUCGGGUGUGUUAUAGCCUCCUGUCAUAUGCUGCGGUUGGGACUGAGGAACUCAGCACGCCGCAAGGCCGGGAUUCGUCCACGUUCGUGCUUAGGAUGCUGGCAUAAUGUCUGUAACCGACCCGUCUUGAAACACGGACC